UGUAUUCACUACUGUAAGUCGCUGGAUAUGAGCGUCUGCUAAAUGACUAAAA
rfam:Salmo salar isolate Sally breed double haploid chromosome ssa19, whole genome shotgun sequence.